GACGAACGCUGGCGGCGUGCUUAACACAUGCAAGUCGAACGAAGAGCGAUGGAAGCUUGCUUCUAUCAAUCUUAGUGGCGAACGGGUGAGUAACGCGUAAUCAACCUGCCCUUCAGAGGGGGACAACAGUUGGAAACGACUGCUAAUACCGCAUACGAUCUAAUCUCGGCAUCGAGGAUAGAUGAAAGGUGGCCUCUACAUGUAAGCUAUCACUGAAGGAGGGGAUUGCGUCUGAUUAGCUAGUUGGAGGGGUAACGGCCCACCAAGGCGAUGAUCAGUAGCCGGUCUGAGAGGAUGAACGGCCACAUUGGGACUGAGACACGGCCCAGACUCCUACGGGAGGCAGCAGUGGGGAAUCUUCCGCAAUGGACGAAAGUCUGACGGAGCAACGCCGCGUGAGUGAUGACGGCCUUCGGGUUGUAAAGCUCUGUUAAUCGGGACGAAAGGCCUUCUUGCGGAUAGU
rnacentral:rRNA from 1 species